GGGGACGUGGCGAAAUUGGUAGACGCACUGGAUUUAGGUUCCAGCGCCGAAAGGUGUGAGAGUUCGAGUCUCUCCGUCCCCACCA
rnacentral:tRNA from 1 species